UGAGGCGAACCGGGGGAACUGAAACAUCUAAGUACCCCGAGGAAAAGAAAUCAACCGAGAUUCCCCCAGUAGCGGCGAGCGAACGGGGAGCAGCCCAGAGCCUGAAUCAGUAUGUGUGUUAGUGGAAGCGUCUGGAAAGGCGCGCGAUACAGGGUGACAGCCCCGUACACAAAAAUGCACAUGCUGUGAGCUCGAUGAGUAGGGCGGGACACGUGGUAUCCUGUCUGAAUAUGGGGGGACCAUCCUCCAAGGCUAAAUACUCCUGACUGACCGAUAGUGAACCAGUACCGUGAGGGAAAGGCGAAAAGAACCCCGGCGAGGGGAGUGAAAAAGAACCUGAAACCGUGUA
rnacentral:rRNA from 1 species